CUCAUCCUCAGGCUGCAGCGGGGAAAAUGGAAGAGUUUAAUUGGUUCUGACUUCAGGAUUCAGAUCAUAGUUUUCCCUGGAGGUGUGCAUUGCAGGAAACAAUAUUACCAAAGCCAGGUCCUGGCUGAAAUUAAUCAAGUUCCAUGAACAUUUGUAAUGGGAAAACAGAAGAGAGCAUUUGAACAUUUAAUUACAAUAUUUUGUAAUUGUUAAAUCACCAGUGACAUUACAAAACGCUCUAGGUGAGCAGAUACAUGAUGUAUUUCUGUUGAGAAGGCAGAAAUACUCAGCAAAAAUGAAGCAAUUGUAGCUAUAUUUUCUCCUUUAUCUUCUCCCAAAGGGAACAAUUCAAAUACAUCAUUUGACUUGAUUGUUUUUAAUUACAUUGUAAACAUUUCAAAAAAAAUCUGGGAUAAAGAUGAACACACAAGUCAGUUGGUAAUAAAAAUGCAGGCUCCAAUUCUUCUUGGAUGACAGAUGAAAUGAGUUUAAUAUAUUCUUGUUUUGUGGAAAGCAUGAACAUUUAAAACUGCAAACAACUGAAUUCAAUUAGCAGGUCUUCUUCGAAACGGCUUGGAGAACUGGAGGGCAAGGAACUCUCAUUAUCUGCCCAUUGUAGAAUUGGGGGGAGCAUCACAGUUCACGGCUGGUAUGAAUUGGUGGAGAAACAAUGUAAAAUUGGUCCCCGUGUUUUUCCAUACAGCUGUUAUCUGGCAAGCAGAUCUACUGAGAGAUUAGGCUGCUAGUGUUUUCAAUCCCUCACCUCACAUAAGUGCUUAAUUCAUCAGAAAGAUAUAAAAGCAGAGAAAAUACAUUCAGUGUUGAAAGAUGGACUGCUAACUGCAUUGCUUUCAAAUGCAAGUAAAUCCCAACGGUAAAGUCCAAUUCCAAAUUUUCCUCCACUAAUAAAUCACAAUCGGCAACUGUCGCUGGGCCCCAUGCACGGCUCACCUGCCUAGAGAGGCACUCUCUGCGAGAAAUCCGUCCUGUGCUAACUUUCUGAGUUGGUGGAGGUUUUGAUUUUGGAGAAGAGAAUAUCUGUUUGUUUGACAGAAGAGGGUGUUUGCUGUGGUGUUCAAGGCAUAUGUAUUUUUGGUCUCUUAGCACAGACAUGACUUUUACAGCCCUGGAAACUCAUAAAUAACACAGUUCACACAUUUAAUUGCUUUGACCAGUUUGGUAGGAAGAGCAGGAAACUGGCCUGAACAGGAACACCGUUGUCACCUGAGCCGCACACCCGGUCUGAUCUUUCCUUUGUUUUAGUUGUUAAUCGUGUUCCAUGAAAGAAACAGUGCACGCUGACCCUCGACACUGAGGAGCACGAUUCACUUCGACAGUUAGAACCCUAGCAACUUCUGCAACCUUGAGAGUUCAAGGACUGCAACAAAGACAAUCAGUGGAGAACCAUCGCGCCUGCAGUUUUCUCGGGAGAAUUGAACUGCAUGUGAUUGGACAGCAAGAGAGUGGGCAAGCCAGGGACAGCCACCACAGUUAAAGUACUGUGGGCCAUGCCUUCAUGCCCCCCUCACUCAUGGAAUUUUUCUGGACUGAGCCAGAGUCUGGAGAGGUGGUGCAGCUGUUCCCUAAUGCCUUUUAUUAUCAUUGCAAGAGCCAGAUUCUGUUCUCCCAUCGAUGUGCAAAUGGAAAAGUACAGCUUAGCAGCAGCAGCUCCCAGGUAAAGCCAUCUGCCCGGAAGCCUUGAGGACCCUCCCAAAGCCAGCCCGGCUCUGUGCCAGGCUGGCUCUUCACGCCUGCGACCCCCAGGUGGGCACGCUGGGUGCCUGGUUUUCCACAUGACCGGGGCACCCGGGACCUGCGUGUGGAUUUGGGGAGACCCCUGGAGGACCUGGGAGUCGUUCCAUCAGUCUUUUGGCGACUUGGGAUGGACUUAAGUUGCUAUUAAAAGGGAAACCAGACCCACUUUCUUUAAGCCAACACACUAAAAUUGAAAAAGGGGGACCUCGGAGGAAUCCACAGGGGAGAAUGUGAAUUAACUAGGUGUUACCUUUGACUGGUUUGGGCCAAGUGACAGCUAAAUGAAAAGCGGAGUUUUCUCUUCAGUGGCCCUGGGCAUCUGACCUGCGAGGAGACAGUAGCGUUAGUUUCCCUCAAUGGAAGUUUCAGACUCAUUUCAGAAUCUGUUUCCGGAGAGAUGAUGGAAAGACAAAGAUUACCUUGAAGCCUAAGAGCCCUUUUUGACCACGUUCUACCUUUGUGACCCAGCAGGCCUGGUGAACAGCAGGUGAACAUUCCACAGGAAAGUGAGGCCGGGGGAGGAGAAGGGAGGGGUCCUAUCCAUACACCCAGAAAAACUGCCCAGAUGUGGGCUUCCUAGGAAAGCGGAGGAGGAGAGGGUGAAGAGUAGAGGAAGGCUGCUGGCUCCAGUGCUGCCUGAAUUUGCAUCUCCUGAGGACUUAAUUUCUGCCAAACCAUUUUGUUUGAAUUAGGAUAAGAAAUGAGAGACAAUUUAGGCCAGGCGCGGUGCCUCACACCUGUAAUCCCA
rnacentral:lncRNA from 10 species